rnacentral:rRNA from 1 species
ACGCUGGCGGCAGGGCUUAACACAUGGCAAGUUGAACGGGAUUUGAUGGUAGCUUGCUAUCAUUGAAGAGAGUAGCGCACUGGUNAGUAACACGUGGGAACAUACCUUUUGGUGGGGGACAACAGUUGGAAACGACUGCUAAUACCGCAUAAGCCCUGAGGGGGAAAGAUUUUAUUGCCGAAAGAUUUGGCCCGCGGAAGAUUAGGUAGUUGGUGGGGUAAAGGCUCACCAAGCCAACGAUCUAUAGCUGGUCUGAGAGGACGAUCAGCCACAUUGGAACUGAGACACGGUCCAGACUCCUACGGGAGGCAGCAGUGAGGAAUAUUGGGCAAUGGAGGAAACUCUGACCCAGCCAUGCCGCGUGAGUGAAGAAGGUUUUCGGAUUGUAAAGCUCUUUCGGAUGUGAAGAUGAUGACGGUAGCAUCAGAAGAAGCCCCGGCAAACUUCGUG